rnacentral:rRNA from 1 species
AACGAACGCUGGCGGCAUGCCUAACACAUGCAAGUCGAACGAGACCUUCGGGUCUAGUGGCGCACGGGUGCGUAACGCGUGGGAACCUGCCCUUAGGUUCGGAAUAACUCCCCGAAAGGGGUGCUAAUACCGGAUAAUGUCUUCGGACCAAAGAUUUAUCGCCUUUGGAUGGGCCCGCGUUGGAUUAGCUAGUUGGUAGGGUAAAAGCCUACCAAGGCGACGAUCCAUAGCUGGUCUGAGAGGAUGAUCAGCCACACUGGGACUGAGACACGGCCCAGACCCCCACGGGGGGGAGCAGUGGGGAAUAUUGGACAAUGGGCGAAAGCCUGAACCAGCACUGCCGGGUGAGUGAUGAAGGCCUUAGGGUUGAAAAGCUCUUUUCCCCGGGAUGAUAAUGACAGUACCGGGAGAAAAAGCCCCGGCUAACUCCGU